UUUUUUACGAGGAUUGCUUUAUAAAUUUUAUUUGCUAUGAGGAUAGUGAAUACUGAUCUCGUUUUUCAUAAAUCACAUGCGCAACAGGAAUUAUUCCUUCAGAGAUGGGGAGAUUGAGGAAUCUUGUCCAUCUGGAUCUAUCUAAUAAUUACAUCUGGGGAUAUAUCCCUCCAACUCUUGGUCAUCUAAGCAAAUUGGAAAAUUUGAACUUGUCUUCUAACGGCCUUGAUGGUAAUAUCUCUCCAACUCUUGGUCGUCUAAGCACAUUUUUUACAUUUUUAUUGUGUGAAAGUGAAACUAUAUAAUAAAUUUCUACAUCUUUAUUUAUUACUUCGGUAGUGUUUUAAUUUGGAGAAUAUGCUGGUUGGCUUUUUUUCCUUUAAUUUUUGUAUGAAAUGAAUCGGCUUCAAGUGUCAGUUUCUUUUCCAAAUUGCAUCCAUCAAUUGCAAUUGUUACAUUGGGCGAUUACAAGUUGUACGUAAUUAUUAAGGAAGGCAGGUUUAAGCAUUUUUGGUUUGUAUGUUUUCCUCCUUUUUUUUCCCUUUUGCAUUAAAAAUCAUGGUUAUCCUAUAAAAGAUAUGAUUACAAAUCAAAAGCACUAUUUCUAAUUUCACACAUACAUAGUUCCUCAUUAAUUUACUAAAUUUACUUUUGUAUUUAUAGGAUAGGGUAGUCAAUUGAGAGCACUGAGAGUGAUUCUCUCUAAUCUCCAUAGUUUUGUAUUAAUUUAUUGAUAUAUUUGUUGCAUCUGCAGAUUUAACUUUCAGUCUAAAAUUUGCAGCGUUGACGAGCCCCAAAAAAAAUAAGAAAAAAAAAUUAUUGGAGCACUAAAAAAUCUAUUAAUUUUUACAACCUAAGCACUUCUUUAUAAAUUUUAUUUCUAUGAGGAUAGUGAAUACUGAUCUCGUUUUUCAUAAAUCACAUGCGCAACAGGAAUUAUCCCUUCAGAGAUGGGGAGAUGGAGGAAUCUCGUUCACCUGGAUCUAUCUGAUAAUUUCCUCUGGGGAUAUAUCCCUCCAACUCUUGGUCGUCUAAGCAAAUUGGAAAAUUUGCACUUGUCUUC
rnacentral:lncRNA from 1 species